rnacentral:lncRNA from 1 species
ACCUGCUUCCGUGAGCGCGGGGAGAAGCUGGGCACAGCUCGCUUUACUCCCAGUGGAGGGCGGGAAGGUGAGUAAUUUUCAAAGAGGUGCCCUCCUGCAACCAAAAGCGGCUUCUCCCUGACAGAAUUCUCUCUCAGAGUUUACCAUAAUCUGUAACUAUAGAUUUAAUUGUAUGACAUUUCUUUCCUCCAGUAGACGUCCAGGAGGGCAGGGACCUUGUCUUUGUUCAGAUAUUCUUGAUAGUGGCAGUUUGUAUGUUUUCUUUUUCUGACUAAUCUAGCUAGAAGUUUAUCAAUUUUUAAAUCUUUUCAAAAUGUCAUGUUUUGGUUCCAUUGAUUUUCUGUUUUCUGGUCCAUUGCCUUAUUUUGCUCUUUAUUGCUCACUUGAGUUUUGAUUUCCUCUUCUUUUUCUAGUUGCUUAGAGUAGAAGAUGAUUGAUUCUGGAUCUUUCUGCUUUUCCAAUGCUAGUAUUUUAAGGCUAUAAAUUGCCCUCUAAGCACUGCUUUAGCUGAAUUCUCCUUUUUUUUUUUCUUGGUGGUUGUUAUUUUUGAGACAGGGUCUCACUUUGUUAUCCAGGCUGGAGUGCAGUGACACAAUCAUAGCUCACUGCAGUCUCAACCUCCUAAGCUCAAGGGAUCUUCUCAGCUUUAAACUGUAGAAGACACAGUAGCUGGAACUGCAGGUGUGCACGACCACAUCCUGUUAAUUUUUAAAUUUAAAUUUUUUGUAGAGAUGGGAUCUCACUGUUGCCCAGAUUGGUCUUGAGCUCCUGGUCUCAAGCAGUCGUCCUGCUUCAGCAUCCCAAAAUUCUGGGAUUACAAGCAUAAGCCACCUUGCCUGGCCUGCUACUGUGCUUUUGUUUUCCUUCAGCUGAAAAUAGUUUUUAAUUUCCUUUAUGAUUUCCUCUUUGACCCUGUAAAGGAAAAUAAAAAUCUCAGAACCACCCCCCACCCCCAACUUGUUAUGUCAAAGGGAGAGUUAAGCCUGGAGACUGAAGUCACUCAACACUACAAUGCUUUUCCCAAAUGGAUAGCUGUUACUUCCCAUAGUUGUAUUAAAACUUUAUAUGUUAGCCAGACCCUCCUCAAAAUGCAAAAAAAAGCCUUAUGCAUCUCAGUCUCAGGAUGACUGUCCUCAACAAAUUAAUCAUAGUAAAUUCUUUACUGGCCCUUAAACCUUUCAAGAUGUAUAUCCUUCCAUAAAACAAGGACGUGUCAAUUGUAUAACUUUAAGUCUGCAACCUAAAUCAAACUGGUACAACUAAAGUCUGUUAAAUUUCACAUGGAUAAAUUCAGUUACAAGCUUAUCUUCCCAGAUGCAGAACAAGGAUAAGAUCAAUCAUUCCUUCACCUGAGAUAUCUGUAUAAUUAACUUCCUUUACUCCAUUUUCUUUGAAUAUUCACCUUAUCUUAUGCAUAGCAUAGAGUUACUGGGCACUACCUAAAGUCUAGCAAAAAUGUAACCAUUUGCUUCACCACCUACAACCCUCUUCCCUGAUGCCUUCUCCGCUUUAAAGAAAGAAUAGCUGUAAUUACAGGUGCCUGCCACCAUGCACGGCUAAUUUUUGUAUUUUUUAGUAGAGAUAGGGUUUCACCACAUUGGCCAGGCUGGUCUCGAACUCCUGACCUCAGAUGAUCCACCCGCCUCGGCCUCCCAAAGUGCUGGGAUUACAGGUGUGAGGUACUGCACCUGGCCUGUAAAUGCCUUUUAAUUGGAGUUUGGGGUCCAUUUACAUUUAAUGUAAUAAUGAUGUGGUUGGAUUUAGAUCUAUUAUUUUGCAAUUUGGGUUUUAUUUGCUUUAACCUUUUCGGUUCCUCUGUUCCUCCUUUCCUGCCUUCGUUUGGAUUAAUUCAAUAAUUCUGAUUAUUUCAUUUUCAUUCCACCAUUGACUUUCUGUUAUACUUAUUUUUUUUCUUUUUUUGAGAUGGAGUUUCACUCUUGCUGCCCAGGUAGGAGUGCAGUGGUGCAAUCUUGGCUCACUGCAACCUCUGUCUCCUGGGUUCAAGCUAUUCUCCUGCCUCAGCCUUCUGAGUAACUGGGACUACAGGCACAUGCCACCAUGCCCAGCUAAUUUUUGUAUUUUUAGUAGAGACGAGGUUUCACCAUGUUGGCCAAGAUGUUCUUGAUCUCCUGACCUUGUGAUCCACCCACCUGAGCCUCCCAAAGUGCUAGGAUUACAGGCAUGAGCCACCACGCCUGGCCUCUGUUAUACUUCUUUACAUUAAUUUUUAGUGCUUACACUAGGGUUUUCAAUACUCAUCCUUAAAUUAUCUCAGUGUACUAAGAGCCAAUAUUGUACUAUUUGACAUAAGAGGUAAGAACUUAGUGUCAUUCCAUUUAUGCCCCAUCGUUUAUGUUAUUGCUGUCAUGUAUACUAGACCUAAAUAUUUAAAUACAGUGAAUAAUUUUUGCCUUAAUUGCUUUUUUAGAGAAAUUACCCACAUAGUUACAACUUCCGGUGUUCUUCCUUCCUUUUUGUAGAUCAGAGUUUCUAUCUAGUAUCAUUUCCCUUUCCUCUGAAGAAUUAAAAACAAAUUUUAUAAUGCAGAUUUGCUGAUUAAUAUGGCUUGGCUGUGUCUCCACCAAAUCUCAUCUUCAAUUCCCACGUGUUGUGGGAGGUGGGAGGUGGGAGGUGAUUGAGUCAUGGGGGCAGAUCUUUCCAAUACUGUUUUCAUGAUGGUAAGUGAGUCUCAUGAGAUCUGAUGGUUUGAAAAACAGGAGUUUCCCUGCCCAAGCUCUCCUUGCCCGCUCCCAUCCACGUUAGAUGUGACUUUCUCCUCUUUGCCUUCCCCCAUAAUUGCAAGGCCUCCCCAGCCAUGUGAAAUUGUAAGUCCAGUAAACCUCUUUCUUUUGUAAAUUGCCCAGUCUCAGGUAUGUCCUCAUCUGCAGCAUGAAAACAGACUAAUACACUGGUGAUAAAUUUAAGUUUUAAUUUAUUAGAAAUUGUCUUUAUUUUACCAUCAUUUUCAAAUGCUAUGUCCUCUGGAUACAGACUUCUGGGUUGAUAUUGCUAUCCUUACCCAUCUAAGUUCAACUGUAAAUAUGUCAUUCUAUUGUCCUCUUGCCUUCAUUGUUUUUGAAUCAUAACCCUUCACUUACACACCCGACUUGUGCUAUGUCAUUUUCUCUAGCUGCCUUUAAGAUUUUCUCUGGUUCUUUGGUUCUUUGAUUUUCAAUAGUUUGACCAUGAUGUUUUUGGUAUGAUUUUCUUUACAAAUAUCUUGCUUAGGUUUUGCUUUACUUCUUGAAUCUGUAGAUUUAUGUUUUCCACAAAAUUUGGAGAAAUGUCAUUCUUUUUUUUUUUAGAAGCAGUUUAUUACCUUAAAGCAUUUAGCAAACCUAAUGUCUGACCUAAUUUCAACCAAAUGUCUUUAUUUUACCAAUAAUCUUCAAAACUCUUGAUUUCCCAAAGCCUACUAAAGUCAUGCUGUCACAGGCCAUUAGACAGCAUGAGCAGGGCAGGAAAGGGCUCUUCUCCCACCCACCAGGAAUGUUGGGUGAUGGCUCAGCAGUUAUCACAUUGCCUCUCUAAAAGUCAUACAUUGGCACCUAGGGUCAGGGAGACGCCAUUUCCUGAUGGUCCACACCUAUUGCACUAAAGUGUUAAUUGAAUGCAGAUGCCAGGGAGAUGCAACUUCCCAGGCAAAUGCAUUAAGAGACAAAACGGCAGAGUAUGACCUUUCCGUGGCACUCCAUGGGAAAAGGGAAGAAAGCCUUGGGUGGGCAUGUGUACAACUUCCUAAACACACUGCAUGUGCUCACCUCCCAAGGAUAGGGAGGGCACUGUGCAUGCGGGCAGCUCACCCUAAGGAAAGAAUCAUGGGAAAAGAGCCAGCCUAUAAAGUCCUAGGAUCAAGGUUCAACACUGCACUUGACCUUCACGUGCCCACGUGCCUGCUUGAGUCUCUUCCAAGCAUACUUUCAUUUCUUUCCUGUUCUAAAGCCUUUUUAAAUAAGCUUCCACUCCUGCUCUGAAACUUACCUUGGUCUCUUUUUCUGCCUUAUGCCCCUCAGUGGAAUUGUUUCUCCUGAGGAGGCAAGGAUCGAGGUUGGUGCUGACUAGUGCAGAUUCGCUGCUGGUAACUUGGAUACCUUCCACCAGUAACAACAUCAACUGAAAGGCAUUACAGUUUUUAUUUUUCUGACAAAAUAUUUGAUUUAAGCACUUGUUAUUUUUAAAACAUUAAUUAGAGCUCUUUCAUAUAUAAACAUUACACACAUAACACACAUAUAACUACACAGACAGACAGAAGAUCCAGUAGUUGUAGGAUUUUUCAUUUGCCAGUUUUUGUUUCUUAAUUGGAUUACUGGCUUCAAGGUGGAGCCCUUGGAGGAACAGGGCUAGGAAAACGUGCAGUUUCUAGGGCCUAAUAAGCAUACAGAGCUGGAAGGCAAAACAGAUCCCCAAAACUUCAGGGUCCCUUUUUCAUACUAGAUCCUGAAUCCCCAAAAAAGAAAUGCUACGGAACAAGACAGAGCGUGAUUUUACCAUGCAUUUCAUUGCAAAGCAACCCAAAGACAGUUAGCCUGUUCUGUGAUCUCAGUCAUUAUUUCUUCAAAUAUUUCUUUUCUGCUCUAUUCUCUUUUCCUUCUGAGAUUUCUAUUACAUGGAUGUUAGACUCUUUGAUAUUGUUCCAAAGGGCAGUAGAACUCUACCUAUGUUUUCAUUUUUCUCAAUAAUUGUUCUCUCUGUUCUUCAGGUUUGGGAUAAUUUGUCUUUAUCUGUUUUAAAUUCAUCAAUCUUUUGACUAUUUCCAAAAAGUUGUUAAGCCCACUCAGUUUGUUUUUAAUUUCAGACCUGUACUUUUCAGUUCUACAAUUUCUAUUUAGUUCCUUUUUAGAGCUUCUACUUCUCUGCUGAAAUUUUCCAUCUGUAACUCAUUAUGACAUAUAUUUUUAAAGUCCUUGAAAAAAAUGUAUAUAUAUAACUUUUAAAUGUCUCUGCUAAUUCUUACAUCUGGGUCCUCUUAUAGUCAGUUUCUAUUUACUGCUUUUUCUCUUGGUUAUACGUCAAACUUUCCUGUUUCUUUGCAAUAUCUGUUAAUUUUUUAUUGUAUACUGAAUAUUGUGGAUAAUAUAUUAUAGAGCCUCUAAAUUCUGUUAUAGUCCUCUCACGAAUGCUGAUUGUUCUAGAAGGUAAAUAACUUGGCUGGAGUCAAACUCCACCUGAAAUUUCUGGUCAUUUCUUUCAGCAAUCCAACUGCUGCUUUUUGCUGAGCUGCUUGAAGCCUCGCCAUGUAUACACAGUUCAGGAGUCAACCAAGGAUUUGGGCAGAGUAUAUAUGCAUGUUUUGGAGUUCUCUUCCUCUCUGACUUCUUUGUUUUCAAGACAUCUGUCCUCCAUUUUUAGCUGUUCUGAGAGUCCCAGAGUCCAUUCCCUAACUUCUGAAGCCCUUAAGAAACUGUAGCUUUCUAAUUGAGUUCCAGCUGCCUUGCACAGUGAAUAUUCAGAAGUGCUCUUAGGUGAAAAGGUGUAUGAACAUAAAUCUUACUCAUUAUAUUUCCAUGUUUUGAAGAAUAGCCAUGACUUCCAUUCCUAUCUGCUUGCUUUUGGUUGCUUUUCAAUGUCUUCAAAUAAUUGUUUUUUGUAUUUUGUCCAAAGUUUAUCAUUUUUGUUAUAAGAUUAGUUCAAUAUAGUUUUCUAUGGUGUGUUUGAUUGGAAAUGCAUUUUUAGUGAAAUGAAUAAUGCUAUAUUUUCUCAGUACGUCAUCUGUUAGUAGAGAAAUAUUACUUAUAGGUAAAUGAGACAAGAUUCAUCAUCAGCUCUAUUUGUAGUUUUAGUUUUUACAAAUGGAAACACUGAGAAAACCUAUUCAAAUUAAUAGAUGGAUAUGGGAAACAUUUUGUAAUAGCAAUGUCACUCAAGUCUUAGACCUUUUUCCAAGAUAUAUGCUAAAAAAAAAAUCAAUCACAUAAUACUCUAGCAUCAAACACCUUAUGAUUUAUUAUCAGACUCCUUAUUUAGGUCCUCCAACAUUUGAAUUAUUCAGUUUCUCAAUUUCUGGGGAGUACACCAAAAAGCAUUUUAAAAGACUUACCAAAUUGUUAAUAAUUAUACUGCAACUCUUUCAUUUCAAGCCACCUUUUAACUUGGAGUUGAGAACAUAGAAAUAUUAACAUUUCUAUAGAUCUUUUGCCAAUAAAAUAUUUUUUGUUAAAAUGGUUUUAUCUUGAAAUUUAAGUUUAUUUUUGUCAAAGCCCUGGAACUGCUGAUUUGGCUCAUUCAAUGUAUGUAAAACAUCUAACUUAAAAGUUAAUCAGGGCUGGGCAUGGUGACUCAUGACUAUAAUCCCAGCUCUUUGGGAGGCCAAGGCCAGAGGAUUGCUGGAAGCCGGAGUUUUAAAGACCAGCCUGAGCAACAUAGUGAGACCCCAGCUCUACAAAAAAACCCAAUAUUUAAAAGUUAGCUGGGUAUGGUGUCGUACACCUGUAGUCCUAGCUUAUGGAGGGACUGAGGUGGGAGGCUUGAGCCCAGGAGUUAGAGGUUACAGUUAACUGUGAUCAUGCCAGUGCACUCCAGCCUGGGCAAGAGUGAGACCCUGUCUCUAGAAAAAAACAAAAAGUUAAUUGGAAAAGCCAGGUUUCAUUAUCAAAUCCAUCAGCCAAAGAAGACUUUUUUCAAUUCACAUAAACAUGCUAAAAUGUAUUAUUGUAUCGACAUCUCGGUUUUAAAUUCUAAGGCUCUACCACCUUCAGUAUACCUUACUGAUACUUUCUUCACUUGGUUCUUAUGGGAUACUCCGAAAGUACUGGGAUUACAGGCAAAGGAAUAUUUCUUCAACCAGAAAAGAAAGAAAACACUGCUGCUACUUUAGGGAACCUUUGUUAAGGAGGCUUUGCCAACACCUAUAUUUCAAAUACAGCCUUUGUUGGGAGCCUUGGCUUUGUUUACACUUUGGGGCAAAAAGCCAUUGGAAGAUUCAGAACAGGUGUUCUGAUGCCAAUUCAUGCACUGCUAUUCAAUUCUGGCACUAACCACCCAGAGUUAGUACAGAACCCACAAGUUAAGCAUUUAGUCCUCCACAAGUUUAUCCUCAUUUCAGAUGCCAGCCAUGCUUCUGGGGUCCCCUGGCCACCUCCCCUUAUGAACAACUAGAUACAAAUUCAGGCGUCAAACCUGACCCCCUCAGAUUUGACAAUUUGGUAGAAUGAUUCAUAGAAUGCAGCAAAGAUCUCAAGGUUCCUGCCUUCAUGAAGAUUUCGAUGAGAUGGGAUUUACAGACCAAUGAACAGGUGAUUCCAAUACAGUAAGAUAAAUGCUAUGUAGAGGAAGUAUGGGCUGCUAAGAGGGCAUAGAAGAGGGACCAAGAUUUGGGAGGAUCGGGAAAGAGAGUUAAUACAGACGAAACAAGGGUAGGGGAAGGACUUGACUGAAGUCAAACUCCACCUGAAAUUUUGGAUCAUUUCUUUCAGAAAUUCAGCUGUUGCUUUUUGCUGGUCAAAUAAAUGGUCAGGGUAGGCUUCAAGGGGCAGAUGACAUGUAAGUGGAGACUUAAAGGAUGAGAAAGAGCAGUUUAUACAAAAAAAAAAAAAAAAAAGAAGGAAGAGUGCUCCUGGCAGACGGGACCAAAGGCUCUGAAGAGUGCUCCCUGAAGCUCUCUGGUGACCACAGAUGGAGGAGUGCCUGUGACCAGAGGGGGGAAGCAUAAGCUUCAAGAGGUGGUCCAGGGCCUCACUGUGUUUUAUUUCUCAACCUGAAAUAAUCCAGAGGAUUAAAAUCCAGUUUUGUUUUUGUUUUUGUUUUUUGAGAUGAAGUCUCACUCUUGCCCAGGCUGGAGUGCGGUGGCACAAUCUGGGCUCACUGCAACCUCCGCCUCCCAGGUUCAAGUGAUUCUCUUGCCUCAGCCUCCCAAGCAGCUGGGAUUACAGGCACGAGCCACCACGCCAGGCUAAUUUUUGUAUAUUUAGUAGAGAUGGGGUUUCACCAUGUUGGCCAGGCUUGUCUUGAACUCCUGGCCUCAAGUGAUCUGCCUGCCUUGGCCUCCUAAACUGCUGGGAUUACAGGCAUGAGCCACUGCACUCAGCCUAGAAUCCAGUUUUGAAGAGGUUAUUCAAAUGCAAAGCUGAGAAUAGUCAUUCGAGUAACACACACUCCAAGAGAUUGGGUCAGUGCUUUCAAGUUAAAAGUUAAGGUCUUGCUUACAUAGGCAGGAAACAAAGACAUUUAGUAGGAUUAUAAUACUUUCUAUAAAAGGCAUGUUUAUGACCUACAACAAUUUCAUUAGUUACAGUUUGUUUUCUUUUUCCUAUGUCUUGUUUUCAUUUCCUUUCCAAUUUAAAAGAGAAUAUUUAAUAUUCUAUCUGAAGACAACCUAAUAGUCAUGAAGUUUUUAUGUGAGAGAAAAAAUGGGAAGUUAAUUUAUAAUGAAGAUUAACAGUUGAUAUGAUUUGGCUGUGUCCCCACCCAAAUCCCAUCUGAAUUGUAGCUCCCACAAUUCCCCUAUGUCCUGGGAGGGACCCAGUGGGAGGUAAUUGAAUCAUGGGGGCAAGUCUUUCCCAUGCUGUUCUGUGAUAAUGAAUAAGUCUCAUGAGAUCUGAUGGUUUUAUAAAGAGGAGUUCUCCUGCACAAGUUCUCCCUCUCUUUGCCUGCCACCAUCCAUGUAAGACAUGACUUUGCUUCUCCUCGCCUUCUGCCAUGAUUGUGAGGCCUCCUCAGCCAUAUGAAACUGUGAGUCAAUUAAACCUCUUUCCUUUCUAAAUUAUCCAGGCUCAGGUAUGUCUUUAUCAGCAGGGUCUUCCCUGGCACCCUUUAGUAAUUUACAUUUUACAACACAAUGUAGGUGAGGAAUAAGGCUAAUCCACAAUCAGAGAAACAAAAGUUAUAGCUGCCUAGGUUAUAAGUGCCUGUAAUGUGACUCAGACCCCAUAAUCACAUUCCUUUAAGGCUCAAAAUAAUUUAAGCCUCCAACAGUUUAAAUUUUCUAUUACUUGUUUUCACAUCUUUAAUACUGUUCUUGUGUCAAGAUUUUCAGCCUUUUGGCUACAGAUCCUGACCACCCCUCUAUCCGCUAGCUAGAACCUAUAGGGUGAAGAAUGGCACAAAAUGAUGAUGUUAGAGAUCUUCGGGAUUUACAGAGCUGGAAUGUAUGGGUCAACAGAGUUUGGAUUUAACUGGAAAUUCAGUGGGACUUUUUUUUUUUUUUUUUUGAAACAAGGUCUCACUUUGUUGCUCAAUCUGGAGUGCAGUGGCACAAUCAGAGUUUCUUGCCACCUUAAAUUCUUGGGCUCAAGGGAUCGUCCCACCUCAGCCUCCUUUGUAGUGAGGCAGGAAAUUAAAUAAACAUAAAAUUAAGAAGAGAAAAACAAGCUUUCUAUAUUAGGCUGACUCAUCCCAAAGGCAGUAACAGGCAAAGACUGAACCCAGGCGAAGUCUUGAUAACAUUCUCAAAGAAGCCAGGGCUCAAAGGGAUGUGCUCUGGAGACUCUCCCAGCACUCCCUCAACAUAAGGAUAAGAAAAAGUGAAUUUCUCCCUCAAAUCCCACCCCCUUCCGCGUGAUUGUACCCUGCUUUGCAAGUGUUAUGAGUUUACAGAUUUCUGUUUUCUGUAGCUAGUAACUUCAAGUAUUCUGUUUUAUCUAAGCAGCACAGUGAAGGUUAUAAGACACGCCUGAGCAGGCCUGGGCUGUGGCUGUCUGGGUGCCAUAGCAAAGUUAUGAGAUAAACCAGUGCAAGGCUCUUUUGAGCAAGUCUGGAUAACAGCCAUCUGGGCUGCAUAGCAACAGUCACCUGUCACAAUUUGAUUAACUGCCUUUGUUUUGCCUCUGUAUCCUUGCUUUUGUGCCACUAUGCUUUAUACCACUGUAAGCUUGUUUCAAGCUAGCCCACCGCCUUUUAGAAGUGUGUAAAAAAGUCAAGUGCUGUCUUUGUUCUGGGCCCAGUUUUCGGAUGUUAAUCUGCUGGUUCUGAGUGCACUCAAUAAAUCCUCCUAUCUCACCCCCACGGUCUCUCUAGUCCUCCUUCAUUCCUGCAACAGUAGCUGGGACUCCUGGCAUGUGCCACCAUGCCGUGCUUUUUUUUUUCUUUUUUUUUUUUUUUUUUUGGUAGAGACUAUGUCUCCGUAUGUUGCCCAGGCUGGUCUCGAACUCCUGAGCUCAAACAAUCUUUCUGUCUCAGCCUCCCAAAGUGGUGGGAUUAUAGGCAUGAACCACCAUGUCUGUCCAAUUUUAACUUAAUUUUAGAUCCAUAUAUGUUCAUGUAAAAUCCCUGGAGCCUAGGAAUGUUAUCUUAUCUGGAAAAAGGAUCUCUGCAGAUGUUAUUAGGUUUAGAAUCUUGAGAUGAGAUCAUCUUGGAUUAACAUGGUAUGCCCUAGAUCCAAUGACAAGUGUCCUUAUAAAAGAGAGGUAGAGGGGGAUUUGAGACACAUAGAAGAGGAGAAGACGCACACAGAGAUGGAUGUGAAGAUGCAGUGCAGAUUAGAGCGAUAUGGCCACAAGCCAAGGAAGCCAAAGAGAGCCAGCAGCCACAGGAAACUCAUUACCAUAGUCAAACACUUGAAGAGAGUCUUGACAUAAGUACAGAAGUGGGGUAUUAGGCUACAUGGGGGAAGAACAUUCCAAACACAUGGUUGCCUUUAAAUCCCUUGUAUAUUGGAAUGGUGGAGGUUCUACUUCUGCAUAUAUUUUUGCACUGCUUAAUUUUUUUAACCAAAAAAAAAAAAUCACAUCAAAAUUAUUUAUUUAUUUAUUUUUGAGAUAGGGUCUCACUCUGUCACCUAGGUUGGAGUCCACUAUCAAUCAAAGCUCACUGCAAUCUCAAUUUCCCAGGCUCAAGAGAGCUUCUCGCCUCAGCCUCGCUAGUAGCUGGGACUACAGAAAUGCACCAUCAUUCCUGGCUUAUUUUUUAUUUUUUAGAGAUGGGAUCUCACUAUGUUGUCUAGGCUGGUCUCAAACUCUUGGGCUUAAGCAAUCCUCCUGCCUUGGCCUCCCAAAGUGCAGGGAUUACAGGUGUGAGCUACCAUGUCCAGCCUAAAAAUAAUAUUAGUAAAAGGUUUUUAUAGCAUUGGGGGAAAAAAAGAAAUAAUAACUACUUAACUAUGCUGGAAGUCUUAAUUAUAUGUGGUUGAUAUUUUUCCUGGGCUCAAGCUAUCCUCCCACCUCAGCCUCCUGAGUAGCUGGGACUAUUAAUGUGCAUCAUCAUAUCUGACUAAUUUUUUAAAAAAAUUUUAAAAACUGUUUUAAAGAGAUGGGGGUAUUGCUAUGUUGCCUAGGCCAGUCUCAAACUCCUGAUCUCUAGCAAUCUUCCUGCCUCAGCCUCCCACAGUGCUGGGAUUACAAACAUGCACCACUGUAUCUGGACAGAUGUGGUUGAUUUUUUAAGGCUGUGAUUCAACUUGUAUACAAUCAGUAAGCAGGGAGAGCAGAGAGAACACUAGCCUUUGAGUAAAUCUGAUAAUACCUCCUUGGAUGAUGUCUUUAUUUGCUUUGUUCAGCUAGCUGCAGUGGACUUUUGAUCUUAGGAAUCUACUGUUGCCUUGCACUUGAAGAAACUGUAGAGGUCCUCUGGAUGAGCCUGCCAAUCUUUAUAUCUGCCCUAUUUUUAAUAUUUACAUGUAUGUGUUGUGAUUUAAAUACAGAUACAUUUAGAAAAAUCUUAAUACCUGGUUUUCUGUCAUUUCCAGAAUUUAUUUUACACUAAUACUGGAUCUUGCUUUAAGCAGUAUCCUUAGGUGCAAAUAAAAUGCUUGUGAAACAAAUGCUGCUUGAAUGUAGCAAUAAUGAAGGCUACAGUUUCUGAGAGCUAGACUCUGUUCUGUGUGCUUUAAGUUUACUAGCAUGUACACCCUCACAACAACCCAUUUAGACAGGGGUACCUAUUUUCCCCUUGAUAUGAUUUAGCUGUGUCCCCACCCAAAUCUAAUCUUGAAUUGUGGUUCCCAUAAUCCCCAUGUGUCAUGGGAGGGAUCUGGUGGGAGGUAAUUUAAUCAAGGGGGCAGUUACCCUCAUGCUGUUCUUGUGAUAGUGAGUGAGUUCUCAUGAGAUCUGAUGGUUUUAUAAGGGGCUUUUCCCCCUUUGCUCAGCACUUCUCCUUGCUGCCACCCUGUGAAGAAGGACAUGUUUGCUUCCCCUUCCACCAUGAUUGUAAGUUUCCUGAGGCCUCCCCAGCUAUGCUGAACUGUGAGUCAAUUAAACCUCUUUCCUUUAUAAAUUUCCCAGUCUUGGGUAUGUCUUUAUUAGCAGUGGGAGAAUGGACUAAUACACCCCUCUUUACAAAGAGAGAAACUAAAGCACAUAAAAGUUAAGUAAUUUGUCCCCGAUCAAUCUGAUAUAAGAGGCAAAGGUAAUGUUGCAACACAGAUGGUCUGGCUCCAUUCUCUUAGCCAUUCUAAUAGGCAGCUACCCUUCACUUAGGAAACUAGUGGAAGGUUGUUUUUCAAUCACAACUCUGAUCACUGUCAGUAACUUCUAAUGUUAUUCCAUUGCUCACAAAAAAAAACCCAAAAAUCUAAAAAUUUACAGUCUAGACUCUAAUCUCUAAUUUAACCCUAUGUUUCACUUAUUUCCAACUAAGGCCACCCUAAAUGCCCUAUUUCCAGAACAAGUUAUUUCAGGCCCCUGUGUCUUUGUUCUUGCUCUCAGGAUACCUUACCUUCUUCUCCACUUGACUAACAUCUACCUAGCCUUUAAAUCCUAGUUUAAUGUCAAUUUCUUUGGAAUGCAGUCCCCAGUUUCCUAAGCAGAUCUUGUCUCUGUGCUGUGUGCUCUGCAAACUCUUGUUCUGACCUUUAAUUGAACACUCUCCCACUGAAGUUUAGUUAUCUCCCUAUCAGAAGGUGUCUUGAAACUGUGAUCCCCUUGUAAAGAGGAAUCUGAUGUUCUCCUCUCUGUAUUUCUCUCUCAUUCCCUUCAGUCCCUAAGGGAGUAACCAGAACAUAUUGUGUGUUUGACAAAAGUUUUGUAACUAAAUGAAUGAGCAAAUGAAUAAUGAGUAAAAUUGUACUUAAAGGAGUUCUGUAAAUAAAUUUUAUUGUGAAAGCCAUCCACCUCCAACUUUUCUUUGGUAAUGUUGACAUUUGCUGGCCAAAUAUCACCAAGACAAGUUGUGUUGGAAGUGCCCAAGACAACCACAAGGUUGUUCACUAGAAGGACUCACAGGGCUCAGAUAUAGUCAUAUUCACAUCUAUGACUUACUAUGGUGAAAGAAUACAAAGAAAAGCAGCAAAGGGAAAAGGCACAUGAAGCUAAGUCCAGGGAAACCAGGAGUCUUCUCCCAUUUGAGUCACACAGGACACUCUUAGUUCCCCACCUACAAUUUGUAACAACACAUGUGAAAUGUUGUCUACCAAGGAUGUUCAUCACGGACUCAGUACCCAGGGUUUUUAUUGCGGAUGGUAACGUAGACACACUUUACCUAGCAGGUACCAAAAUUCCAGGCCUCCAGAAGCAAGGCAAGUGUUUAGCAUAAACCAUAAGGUCUGCACAGUUUAGGCACAGUUUGCCAUUUUUAUCAGGAACGGUGGGAACCCUCCUAAAAUCCAAGUUCACAACUCCAGCCAAGGACAACCCUUCCAAGCUGGUCUUUCUAAGGAUAGCAGUCUCAGGUCUGCUGUGUUAACUUUUCUUUGCAACACAACAUAUCAAUAAGACCAAGCUGAGUUAUUGCUUACCAUGGUAAGGAAGACCACCAUCUUGUUAAAACUUGGCAGCAUCCCAGAGAAGAAAGGGCAAAAUCAGAAUUCAUUGAUAUUGGGAGUUUUGUUCAGGUAGGUCUUUCAAUGUGAGGCCUAGAUUAGGAUUGAAUCAGGAUUGGUGGAAACAGCAAGGCAAGGAUUUUUGAGACAAGGGAUUCAAAGAAUUUUAGCACUCAAACUAUCUUCAUUUUUUUCUUUUCUUUUCUUUUGUUUUAGAGACAGGGUCUCACUAUGUUGCCCAGACUGAUCUUGAACUCCUGGGCUCAAUAAAUCCUCC